rnacentral:misc_RNA from 1 species
GCAAGUAUCUUCAAAAUUAACCUGUGAAAGCAAUGAGGAUCCCACUUUAAGAAGAGCAAAAGGCUAGAAACAAUUUACAUUCUAACAUGCAGACUCCAAGACUUGGUGAUAGAAAUUGAUUGCAAGCAAUAUAAUGGUUCACAUACAUAUGGAGAAGUGAAAGAGAUUUGUUCAUACUGGGGUAUUCCUUUUUUAUUCAGAUAUGCACACAUCAAACUAGAAACAAACAAACAUAUGUACAACAUCAUAUUAUUUCUCCUUGCAACAACAACAACAAAGCCUUAGUCCCAAACUAUUCGGGGUUAGCUAUAUGGAUCAUUUUCCACCAUCAAUACUCAAAAAAAUGUAAAUCUUUUGAUACUACUUCCAUCCACAUCAUCUUAGGCCUCCCUCCUUCCCCUACUAACCUAUCACCCUUU